rnacentral:rRNA from 1 species
GAUGAACGCUGGCGGCGUGCCUAAUGCAUGCAAGUCGAGCGAACAGACGAGGAGCUUGCUCCUCUGAUGUUAGCGGCGGACGGGUGAGUAACACGUGGAUAACCUACCUAUAAGACUGGGAUAACUUCGGGAAACCGGAGCUAAUACCGGAUAACAUGUUGAACCGCAUGGUUCAACAGUGAAAGACGGUCUUGCUGUCACUUAUAGAUGGAUCCGCGCCGCAUUAGCUAGUUGGUAAGGUAACGGCUUACCAAGGCAACGAUGCGUAGCCGACCUGAGAGGGUGAUCGGCCACACUGGAACUGAGACACGGUCCAGACUCCUACGGGAGGCAGCAGUAGGGAAUCUUCCGCAAUGGGCGAAAGCCUGACGGAGCAACGCCGCGUGAAUGAAGAAGGUCUUCGGAUCGUAAAACUCUGUUAUUAGGGAAGAACAAAUGUGUAAGUAACUAUGCACGUCUUGACGGUACCUAAUCAGAAAGCCACGGCUAACUACGUG